rnacentral:rRNA from 1 species
AUUGAACGCUGGCGGCAUGCCUUACACAUGCAAGUCGAACGGCAGCACGGGUGCUUGCACCUGGUGGCGAGUGGCGAACGGGUGAGUAAUAUACCGGAACGUACCUUAUUGUGGGGGAUAACGCAGCGAAAGCUGCGCUAAUACCGCAUAAUCCCUAAGGGGGAAAGCGGGGGACCGUAAGGCCUCGCGCAAUUAGAGCGGCCGAUACCUGAUUAGCUAGUUGGUGAGGUAAAGGCUCACCAAGGCAACGAUCAGUAGCUGGUCUGAGAGGAAGAUCAGCCACACUGGGACUGAGACACGGCCCAGACUCCUACGGGAGGCAGCAGUGGGGAAUUUUGGACAAUGGGGCAACCCUGAUCCAGCAAUGCCGCGUGAGUGAAGAAGGCCUUCGGGUUGUAAAGCUCUUUUGUCAGGGAAGAAACAGCAGCUCUAACACAGUUUGCGAAUGACGGUACCUGAAGAAUAAGCACCGGCUAACUACGUGCCAGCAGCCGCCGUAA